rnacentral:rRNA from 2 species
AGCAUAUCAAUAAGCGGAGGAAAAGAAACCAACAGGGAUUGCCCCAGUAACGGCGAGUGAAGCGGCAAUAGCUCAAAUUUGAAAUCUGGCCCUUUCAGGGUCCGAGUUGUAAUUUGUAGAGGGUGCUUUGGCGUUGGCUGUGGUCUAAGUUCCUUGGAACAGGACGUCGCAGAGGGUGAGAAUCCCGUAUGUGGCCGCCAGUCUUCGCCGUGUAAAGCCCCUUCGACGAGUCGAGUUGUUUGGGAAUGCAGCUCUAAAUGGGAGGUAAAUUUCUUCUAAAGCUAAAUAUUGGCCAGAGACCGAUAGCGCACAAGUAGAGUGAUCGAAAGAUGAAAAGCACUUUGGAAAGAGAGUCAAAAAGCACGUGAAAUUGUUGAAAGGGAAGCGCUUGCAGCCAGACUUGCCUGUAGUUGCUCAUCCGGGCUUUUGCCCGGUGCACUCUUCUAUGGGCAGGCCAGCAUCAGUCCCGGCGGUUGGAUAAAUGCCUGUUGAAUGUACCACUCCUCGGGGUGGACUUAUAGCCUCGGGCGGCAUACAACCAGCUGGGAUUGAGGUCCGCGCAUCUGCUAGGAUGCUGGCGUAAUGGCUGUAAGCGGCCC